UUCGAUCCUUGGAAUUACCCAAAGUGAAAAACAACAUGUCAACCAGACGCAAAUGCUUCGUCAGGAAUCAAUAUAAGGAAAGGUCCCCCAUAGUGUCUCUACCCUCAACUCAACUUGGAGGUUUGUGUGACAUAAAAUGGAAAUUGAAAUAAAGGAACUAAUCGAA